rnacentral:tRNA from 1 species
GCCUCGGUAGCUCAGUCGGCAGAGCGCGUGCCUUUCAAGCCCGUGGCCGCGGCUUCGAGCCCCGCCCAAGGUG